rnacentral:rRNA from 1 species
UACGUAGGGGGCAAGCGUUGUUCGGAGUUACUGGGCGUAAAGGGUGUGUAGGCGGUUCUUUAAGUUUGGUGUGAAAUCUCCCGGCUCAACCGGGAGGGUGCGCCGAAUACUGAGGGACUAGAGUGUGGGAGAGGAAAGUGGAAUUCCUGGUGUAGCGGUGAAAUGCGUAGAUAUCAGGAGGAACACCGGUGGUGUAGACGGCUUUCUGGACCAUAACUGACGCUGAGACACGAAAGCGUGGGUAGCAAACAGG